rnacentral:rRNA from 1 species
UACGUAGGGGGCAAGCGUUGUCCGGAAUUACUGGGCGUAAAGCGCGCGUAGGCGGCUUUGUAAGUCAGAGGUGAAAUCCCGGAGCUCAACUCCGGAACUGCCUUUGAGACUGCAUCGCUUGAAUCCGGGAGAGGUGAGUGGAAUUCCGAGUGUAGAGGUGAAAUUCGUAGAUAUUCGGAAGAACACCAGUGGCGAAGGCGGCUCACUGGACCGGUAUUGACGCUGAUGUGCGAAAGCGUGGGGAGCAAACAGG